AAAAUUUUAAGUUAAAACAAACUAAAGUAUUUCAAAUACUUCAAUAAUCUAAAUUAAAUUUUA
rnacentral:tRNA from 2 species